rnacentral:tRNA from 1 species
UAUUUAAAUAGCUUAAAUAAGAGCAUAAUAUUGAAGAUAUUAAGGUAGUGAGAACUUUUUUAGAUAU